UACAGAAAGAUCUGGGAACUAAGAGCAACGCUCGAAGAGGACGAGGAGCUUGAACAUCUCGUCUCUCCGCUGCCGAAACCACUCAAUUUGUAUAACCCUUCACCUGUUCAGUCCCCAGAAACGGAGACUGCGUAUGAACAUGACGACACUUUGCCAAGAUGUAGGUCUUCUUUCAGCUGCUGGCCGUCCCGUGCAUCAGUACCACCUCUGAGACUAACUCGACGACCACAACACAGGGGUAAUCAGGCCAGCCCUGCUGAACCCGACAGUGAGGCUCAAGGAGCAUUUGAGCUGCAGG